UAGUCUCGCACAGAUGCAUAUCAAUAAGCGGAGGAAAAGAAACUAACAAGGAUUCCCCUAGUAACGGCGAGUGAAGCGGGAAGAGCUCAAAUUUGAAAUCUUAAAGGGUUUCCCUUUACGAAUUGUAGUUUAAAGAAGUGUUUUCUGUUGAGGUUUUGGUAAAAGUUCUUUGGAAUAGGACAUCAUAGAGGGUGAGAAUCCCGUAUUUGACCUUUACUUUCAACUUUGUGAUACACUUUCAAAGAGUCGGAUUGUUUGGGAAUGCAGUCCAAAAUGGGUGGUAAAUUUCAUCUAAAGCUAAAUAUUGGCGAGAGACCGAUAGCGAACAAGUACCGUGAGGGAAAGAUGAAAAGAACUUUGAAAAGAGAGUUAAACAGUACGUGAAAUUGUCAAAAGGGAAGCGUUUGACACCAGUGUUGUUUUUCUGGAAAUCAAUUAAAGAACUGUUUAUGCUAAGCUGUUUAGACUUUAUCAGCUAUCUGUUUAGUUUUGAGCUUUUCUUUAAUGCACUUUUCAGUUAACAAGUCAACAUCAAUUUCUUUUGCUGUAAAAAAGCUUGAGGAAGGUGGCUUGAGAUUCGUCUUAAGUGUUUAUAGCCUCUUGCCUAUGCAGUCGGAGAGAUUGAGGUCUGCAGCGUAGAUCCUUCGGGGCUAAAUGCAUUUGUGCUAAGUUAUAGCAUUUUAUAGACAACUUGUUGACUAUGAUUAGUCUUGUAGCUUACUCGCUUAUGUUAUUUUACCUACGCUUAGGAUGUUGAGUAGCGACAUACGCAC
rnacentral:rRNA from 1 species